ensembl:lncRNA
GACUAAACCAGGACUAAACCGGGUCUAAACCAAGACUGAACCAGGACUAAACCAGGACUAAACCAGGUCUAAACCAGGUCUAAACCAGGACUGAACCAGGUCUAAACCAGGACUAAACCAGGACUAAACUAGGUCUAAACCAGGACUAAACCAGGACUAAACCAGGUCUAAACCAGGACUGAACCAGGACUAAACCAGGUCUAAACUAGGUCUAAACCAGGUCUAAACCAGGUCUAAACCAGGACUAAACCAGGUCUAAACCAGGUCUAAACCAGGUCUAAACCAGGACUAAACCAGGUCUAAACCAGGUCUAAACCAGGACUAAACCAGGUCUAAACCAGGUCUAAACCAGGUCUAAACCAGGUCUAAACCAGGUCUAAACC